GCCAAGAUGGUCGAGUGGUCUAAGACGUCAGACUUAAGAUCUGAUCCUCUAAGGAGGGCGUGGGUUCAAACCCCACUCUUGGCA